AGCCGCCGCCAUCAAGAUAAGAAGUCGGAAAGCGAUCCAAAUUAGUAAUCAAAAUAAUUAUAUUGGUUGUUUCUCUUGGUGCCGUUAAUAGAUAAGAAGAAAAUCGAAAGCUCUAGAUGCAAUUAAGAAAAGAGAAAGUCUCGAUGGUUUUGUGUAGAUACUAGAGUUUUUAUUGUUAUCUCAUUGGAGUCGCCCAAGUCCAUAUCGAAACUGCCCGAGGGUUGGUUGUUCAUUACGUUAGUUUUGAAACCCGAGAAGGAAAGAGUCGGUCUCACGUGAGUAUGACGGAUAUAAGUGAGAUCCAAAGCGAGUUUCAAUUCAUUCAAGUGUCAUAGCCUCGGCUUGGUUUCGUUUAGAAGGUAUACGAGCAUUGAUGAAGCAACGAGUCGAGUUGCAUAAUUCUUUUAUCUGAGGUUAGGCAUUGAUCAGUGGUUGGUAGCUUGCUUGUGAGACGGGUAGCUAUUAUUGGAGCUUUUGGACGUUGGCUUUAGUUACCCAUAGUUGCACUAUUUAAGAGGACUUAUUUAUUAGCCCUUUUGGCUUUUAUUACGUUGACUGUCUUUAUUGAGGUUGAUUGUGGAUU